GCAGUAGGUUGACUGCUGCCACUCCCCCGGUGGAGUACCGGAGUCAACGGGAGACGGGGACCCCUGCUGGAUUGCUUGCUCCGGAGGAAUAAGAGCAACAACAGACUGUCGACUGAAAAUGAGGAUAAGUGAAGGUUUUGGUUUUCAAAGUGCGAUGGAAGCAGAGUGCUGGCUUUCAGUCAGAUCUGCUUGAUGCUUCAUGCAGGGGAAGCUUAAGUCCCAAGACUGAGAUCUCGAGAGUCCCAUCUGGGUCACCCUGAAUAUGGACAUAGGACCAUAGCCUUGGACUAAUUCUGAAAGAACUCUUUGCAACUACAAAGCUCACCAUCUCUAUUAAGAAUCUGAUCUCAGAACUGUACUCAAGUCUGUAUGCAUACUGAUAUUUUACCCAAUAUUCUCUCUCUUUUCUUUUUA